rnacentral:lncRNA from 1 species
GUAACUGCCAUUAUUAAGCACCCAGGCUGGCCAGGCGCCGUCACCACCCCUUCUGUCCCGCGGUGGCAGCCCAGGCACACAGGGCACAGGCAUGUGUCCUAGGAUUGUGGAAGAGGCAGCGCUGGGAUACGAACCUGGGACAUGGGGCUCUUGGCCCCCUGCGACAGGCUGAGGAAGACUUGUGCUUGAACCAGGCUUUGAAAAUUGGGGAGGGUUUGAUGGGUGCAGGUAACGGAGCAAGCUCUGCCCUCAUGGCCGUGAGACCUCGGGAAGACGUUUGAUCUUGGUGGGCCGCACUUUCCUCCUCCGUAAAAGUGGCCGCACUUAGGAAAACGAGUAACUAAUAUGUCCACCUCCUAGCAAAUUAUUGGAAGGAACAUGAGAAACCUUCUCUCUUAAAACAGAGUUAGAAGAUGCGCUGAUACCGGAUUUCUGUGCCUACGUGGUGGGCAGCAUUCGGCUGGAGCUGCCAGCUCUGUUUCCUCUAGAAGGCGUCGUCCUCUUCAGUUUGCUGGUCCUCACUGUUUACAGGAUUCAGGCGUCUGUACUCACAUCUGGCCGCUGAGAGCAGGCCUACAGGACACCCCAAGUUUCCCUGCGUCCUCUCCUGCCACCCUGAAACCUGUUCUUCACACAACAGCCUGACUCAUCUCUUAAAAUAUGACCGCCAACAACCUCCCAACUGGAUACCUAAAUCUGAGGGUAACUCUUCUAACUGGUGAUUGACAUCUGCCGAAGCAAAGAAUCAGCCCAGGGUUUCCCAGAUUCAGAUCCUGGGCGCGGACAUGGCAUCGCUCAUCAAGCCGUGCUGAGGCGGCGUCCCACAUAGCACAACCAGAAGGACCAUAACUACAAUAUACAACCACGUAGUGGGGGGCUCUGCAGAGAAGAAGAAGAAGAAGAAAGAGAAGAAGGAGAAGAAGAGGCCAAAGAAGAGAUUGCCAACAGAUGUUAGCUCAGGUACCAAUCUUUUAAAAAAAAGACAG